UAAAUACCGGAGCAAUUUCUAUUUUCCUCACAAAAUUUACAAAAAUGACUCAAAAAUAGGAUCUUAAAUAAAUAAGCAAUAGAGCAAUCUAAUUGUACAUUCUCUAAUAUUACAAAAGCAAUGUUAAUUUUACAAACUUGUGAUUUGUCAGCAAGAUAAUAAAUAGAAAGAGAAAGUACGUGCAUUAAAGAAUUCAAUACAAUGGAGAUCGAAGUAAGGAUGGCAGCCCAUGUUAAGCCACAUUUUCCUAAAAAAAAAAAAUUAUGAUAAGUUGCAUGAUACAAUGCGCUACUGACUAGUGACUACAAUCUAAAUGUAAAGGCACAUUGAUGAUAGUAAAAAUUAUUUUCAUUUAUGACUUCAUAACUUUCUGGUGAUUGAAUCUAACAAGUGCUCAAGUAUCCAAUGGUUCAAAUGCAUUCCACAUAGUUUGAUCACAUAUCCAAUGGAUCAAAUGCAUUCCACAUAUUUUGAUCAUCCGACGACUGCGGAUCUCUUAGAAUGGAUUCAAUCUUUGGUCCUCCAUGUUGAUUUCUUGCAACAGGAAAAUUCCAAAAUGAAUCGGAGUUCUCGAAGAAAAUGUAAAAUACAACAGCCGAUGCCAGAAAUAGAGCUAAAAGCAACGAGUAAAUCUGCCACUCUGCACAAAGUCAAAAAAGAAAAUGGUUAGGACACUGAAUUUUGAGAGUGAGAGUGAGAGAGAGACAAAGAAAGACCUUUCCAAUCUGCCGGAACAGUUAGCUUGGUGAUCAUAGCUCCCCACUCUUUAGAAGCGGUAAGCACCACCCUGUGAAAAAGCACCACACGAUGAGAGGAAGAAUUAAUACGUAAGAACUAAAAUAGAGGAACUGUGAAGAAAAAAAUUGGUUGCAAAUGACUUAUAAAGCUACAUCAAAUGUUCAAUUUCAGUAGAAGAGCUCUAAUACAAUAUAAGAAUGCAGUCAACUUCUUUUUAUGGUACGUAAAAAUCCUUCGAACCUUUUAUGUUCAAAGAUUCCUGCAUUAGAGACUAUUUUCGGUUCCUACAACCUUGUCAAUUGGAAUACUCAUGAGAUGUAAAUAUGCCAGAUUAGUGACCCAAAGUGGCUUUGAAAUUUGAACUCCUGACCUCCCAGUUGAAUCAAAAGGUCCAAGGGUCUCACCACAACCCAACCACUUAUAAAUUAUUAAGGUCAAUACGGGAUGAUUGUCGCAUAAUUUCUGGAAUUACCAAACAGAUUUUUUAAAGAAUAAAAGAAUAUUUUAAUUCUUUGGCAGCCCUUAAAGUUGUUGAUCAAACAAAAAGGCAAGGCAUUCCUAUGUGUUGAUCAUUAUGUAUGACAUAUAUCUGUGUUACCAUUUGAAUCUUACCUUUGGGUGGGACAGAACUCAACUAAUGCAAUGGAGGUACCCAGGUGUAGCCUCUUACUCCAAUGAUUGAUUUCCAUUUUUUUCACAUCGACAACACAGAUGUCCCCAUCUUUGCUUCCCCUACAAUAAAUAAAAAAAUCAAACGUCAGUUAAAACAAAGUCACAAGUGAAAAUGAAAGCGAAACACAUAAACACCGCCAAAUGGCUACAGAGUUGUAUAUUAGCUCAAUGACAAAUUUUGGCUCAAAACAUUGAUAAGAAUCACAGCAAUUUAAGCAUUUCAAAAAAAUACAUCAGACACUGAGUUCAUAUUUUCUAGAAAAAUAGUAACACACGCCCACAUACUGACAACAAAUUUUUAAACAGUAUCAUCGUGAGCUUACAUAGCAAGAUACUUCCCAUCCAAGCUGAUAGACAAUACAGAUGCAGGCUUUCUAAGCAGCCUCUUAUGGCCAAUUUUGUUCCAUGUACUGAUAUCAUAAACCGCAAGGAGAGCUUUAUCACCUGUUUCAUUGAUAUUAAUUCAGAUUAAAUUAUAAUCUAACAAUAGCUCAGUAAAAUGUUGUACAUCAAACAAGAGGGAGAAUAUACCUCUUUGAACUGUGCAAAACAAAAAUGGUUUUGUCCCAUCCUUGGAGAAUCUGCAUAACUCAAUCUUCUCAUCCUGCAUGGUCCCCCCCCCCCCCCCCCAAACACACCAAAAAAAAAAAAUGUUAAAAGUUUUUUCCAUGUAAGGCAAACUUCUAGCAAAUAUUCCAAUACCAUAGAUAGAUAAAUCAUACCGAGUUGCGAGUUAAGAAAGUCCAAGCAACACCAUCUUCUGUUUUCCAUAUUCUAGCAGAACCAUCAGUAGAAGUUGUAGCCAAAAACUCUGAAUCUAGGCUAUCAGAUAAACAUAACCAAAAGUUUCAGCACCCAGUUAUGGAAGUGUCAAACUCCUGUACAAUUUUAUUAAAAGGUGCCUAUAUUAUUGCAUUUACCAUAAAAUUUAGUACUUAUACAUAUAUUUGUGUUUAUUAUUAUUGUUGGUUUUCAUUUAAGCAUGGCAUGACUGGUAAUUAAAUCAUCUCUCCACAAACCCCGCCCCUAGUACAUAGAGGUUAACAUUAGAAAUGUCAUGACAUAUUUCUGAUGACACACAAACGAAUUAGUUUGAUGCUUACCUAAAGUCCAUAUCCAACACAGACUUGUGUGCUUUUGGUUCAUCUAAAAUGAUGCGCAGGCUUGGCCAAUGCAUUAUUCUGAGAUGUCCAUCCUACCAUUGGUUAGAAAGAUGUCAGACAUGCAUGCUUGUCAUAUAAAAAAUGCAGUAAUCAAUAGAAUGUUGUAAUAUAUUAAAUUCUGGGAUAUUUUCACACCAUUGAAACAGUGGAUAUAACAACAGAUCAAAUUAUAAAGCAUUGCUUACCACUCCACCAGCAGCAAAUCUAGAUCCAUCCACACUGAAGGAUAGGCAUUUUUGUGGGCCAGCGUCUUGAAGAGGAGGCAUUUUCUUGGCCAGUAAAUUUAUAUCUGUUGCUCCACCAUAUACCUCAAACAAUCUGCACAUCAUGGGAAUAAAUCAGUCUACAUUACAACCUCUUAAGCUGAUAGUUUUGCUAGCCUGACUAGCUGUAUAAUUUCACUUUGUAAAGUAAUACCUACUCUGAAGACUAAACUAAUUGAAGUAAACCUCUUGAAAAUGUUUGGCUAAAAUCAGUCUACAAACGAAAACACUUGAGAAAGAUCAACUCAAGGGAUAAAAGAUUCAUCUAGUCUUAAAUCCAUUUACAGGCUGAAAACAACUCAGACUAAAACAUCAGUAAUACAGAGCCAUAUCAACCAACUAAAACAAAAGACAAUUUAAAUAGGAAACAUUUUUUGCAAUAAAUUCAGUUAAAACAAACAAGCAGUUUCCAAGCGUUUAAAGAAACAGCUUCUCUCAACUCAAUUAGGCUCCACCAUCUAUCUCACCACUUACUUUCAAAAAUAAGAUAACACAACUUAGGAUGCAGAGACCACAUAUUAUCACAAAAGCCAAAGUGCAAGCAGAAGUUAUAAAUAAGACACAGUUUAUUUCAACUUAGAACAGAACACCAAUUCUCAACAGUCCGCCCAUUCCAAUCCAACAUUAUAAUCAUUGACUUCGCAAUAUCAAACUUUUCUUUAUUGACUUCAACUAACACCAUUGUUUGAUCCAUUGGAUCAAGGGUAUGUUUGAAGUUAAGGUGGUGUGGCUUUUAAUAUACGACUAUUAAGGAACGAAAUCACUAGAUGUCAAAGUGAGUGGGCAUUAUUAGCAAACUGUUUCAAAAUUAAAACUUGGUGCCUUUCUCCCUAACUUAAGAAUAAAAUUUUAAGCUUACAAGCAAUCCCCACUUUUCAGUUGAAGAUUAUAAAUUUAAACUAAAAACUGACCAAAAACACAACUCUUUACAAUCAAAUUACAGAGUAAUGAAUCAAACAAACUAAAAGCUAAUAAACUCACUUGCAGCCACCAUUAGUUGUAGAGCAAACAAAGUCAUCACCACUCGGGUUCACAGCAAUUGUCAUGGGAUCGCCUUCGCUUUCAUCAAACACAUAAGUAACCUUCAAAAAAAAAAAAAGCCAAAAACAAAACAAACCCACAUCAGAAAAGUCAACGAAACAUCAAAAAUCAAUUCAAAACGAAAUCUUUUUCGCUUUUUUUUUCAAAAAAGAAUAUUUUUACCAAAGGGGAAGUGUAGACAGAGGUUGUUUUGGGAUCAAAGGAGAAAAUUUCAAGCACUGAGGGGGAUGAACUGGCCUGGCUGGACUUGCCCAACACAACCAAAUUCACGUUCUCGGGUCGCUUGAUCCACGACCCGCAUGUCACGGUACCACCACCCUCCAUUUUAAUUGAUUGAUGAAAUAAAUUUGAGUUUGAAUAACAAAAACUUUUUUUUUGGGGGUUUUGUUUUUGAAGUGGGAACUGGAAACAGAGUCAAUGGAGGAAGAUGAGGGGGUUUUUGCUGGUUUUAUAGUCGAAAACGCGGACAAAUUUUUCGCUUUCCGCGAAAAGUUUUUUGGUUUUGCCUUGUGUUAUGCUUUUCUUGUUCCAGGUACAAUGAUGUGCAGAGCACAACGCACGGGAGAUAUUAAACCGCGUGGAUAAGAUAAUAAUUUAUUAUGUCAUAUUUUGUGUACGUAAAUUUGUAUUUCUUUUUAUUCCUUUAAUUAAAACAAAACUACAGUCAAUAGAAACAUAUAACAAUUGCAAGACUACAUUACAGGUAAAUAUUUACAAAUAUUGGAUAGGAUUAGUUUGAGUAAGGAUGCCAAAUUCUAGAUCCGAUUCGGAUAUAGGUACAUUUAGAUCUGAAUCUGUAAAAAAAUAUGUGGAUCUGAAUGCGGUUAAUAUCUGUAUAGAUUGUGAGCAUAUUUCUUAGAUAUCCAUAUUUACAUAAUAAUAAAUUUAAAUAUAAUUUUAAAUUCAACAAUUUACCUAAUAAUAUCAAAUAAAAUUUAAUUAUAAUUCAACAAUAAAAAAUUCGACAUCAAUUAGACAUAAAUAACAUACAACAACAUUAUAAAUUUGUAAAUAAAAAUUUCACAACAUAAAUCAAACAUAAAAAAUAAAAAAUCUAAAGUAAACCAGUUCAUUACAAUAUUCUCUAAUUAUUAUUAUUAUUAUUAUUAUUAUUAUUAUUAUUAUUAUUAUUAUUAUUAUUAUUAUUAUUAUUUCUUAACAUACUUUUCAAAAUCAAUAAAGAUUAUAGAGUUAAUUAUGCUUAUACUUAUUAAAUAAAUAAUUUAACUUAUAUAUUUUUCAAUUGAAAUUUAAUUGACAAAUAAUUUAAUUAUAAAAUAAUGCAGAUCUAGAUAUUCGAUUUCUCUUAUGCACUUAUAUGUAGAUCCGGAUUUAUAUUUUUUAAUAUAGGAUCCANNNNNNNNNNNNNNNNNNNNNNNNNNNNNNNNNNNNNNNNNNNNNNNNNNNNNNNNNNNNNNNNNNNNNNNNNNNNNNNNNNNNNUUUAAAUAAUUUUAUUUAAUUGAUCAUAUGAAUUCGAAUCAUAAAAAAGAUGAGGGAUCAAAAAAUGAUUUGGAUUUUGUAUAUCUAGUUACCUUAAAAUAUAAAAGAAAAGAUUAAUUGAUUAUUUUUGAAUCAUCCGUUUAUAUAUCUCCUCAUAAAUUGAUUAUUUUCAAAUCAUUCUUUUGACAUUAAAAACACCACAUAUUUUUCAAAGUCAAUAAAGAUUAUAGAGUUAAUUAUGCUUAUACUUAUUAAAUAAAUAAUUUAACUUAUAUAUUUUUCAAUUGAAAUUUAAUUGACAAAUAAUUUAAUUAUAAAAUAAUACAGAUCUAGAUAUUCGAUUUCUCUUAUGCACUUAUAUGUAGAUUGGAUUUGUAUUUUUUAAUAUAGGAUCCAGAUCUUCCGCAUCUUUGUGGAUGUGGGUCGAAUCCGGAUUUUCUUACCAUCCCUAAGUUUGAGUGCACCCUAAGUCCAGAGUGAUUUUUAAAUAAUUUUAUUUAAUUAAUCAUAUGAAUUCGAAUCAUAAAAAAGAUGAGGGAUCAAAAAAUGAUUUGGAUUUUGUAUAUCUAGUUACCUUAAAAUAUAAAAGAAAAGAUUAAUUGAUUAUUUUUGAAUCAUCCGUUUAUAUAUCUCCUCAUAAAUUGAUUAUUUUCAAAUCAUUCUUUUUACAUUAAAAACACCAAUUUACCUCCUAUUUUUGUUAAAAAAGACAAAAAAAAAUUAUCAACCCACUCUUUUUUUUAAUCUUUUUAAACAAAAAUGGGUAACUUGAAGUCUUCAAAUAUAAGGAAAAUGAUUUGAAAAUAAUCAAUUUACUAAGAAAUAAUCUAAAAUUUACCCUGAAAGAAAAAAAAAGAGUAAAGGAUCAAUUUCCAUUUGCCAAAGUUAUAAUUGUAUAGAUUAUAUAUUUUAUAUUUAGACCUCGGCAAACCAUGGUUGUAAGUUGUAACAUAACUUCACAAAGUGCAAAACAUAAAAGUUAUCCUUAAUAAUUUAAGAUAUAUUAAUAACUAAACAUUACUUAAAAUUAUUGGGUAUAAUUUUUCUGGUAGACGUAGCCACACCCUUGAAAUAAUUAUUAUUUUCAAUUAUAUAUUUCAAAACGCAUUUUUUAAAAUUACUUUUUUUUUAUGUGGGUCCUUGAGUGGAGGAAAAUACAAUGAUCGAAUGGACAAGAACGAAUCGUCAACUCUUUGUAGUGAUUAAGGAUAUUCGAUUGGUGAUUCCGCGGGAAAAGCGAUGGCAAUUGGCACCAACGGUUUUGUUAAUAGUAGUAAAAAAUGGGGUGGCAUUGCAAUGAGCAAUCAUGUUACUAUUAGAUGUAAUAUUUUUAUCUGAAAAAAAUGAUUUAUUGUGUUUGUAUCAUUUCUAUCAAAGUUAAAAGAUGGGUGAUGACUGAUGACUGAUGAUAGACUCACAAUGAUGGGUGAUGACAGACUCACAAUUAUUUAAUAUAAAUAAAAUUGUAUAAAUUGAUGCUAUAUAAAGAGAUUAUUUGUAUAAAAAGGUCCAGCUAUAUUAUCGAAGGGGUUUGAUACCCCAUUUUUUGUCUUUUUUAAAUCGAUCUUUAGAUUUUAUCCAAAAGUAGUGCAAUAGCUUUAAUGUGUAUAUUGGGUUAUUAACAUUAAAAGUCUUUGUUAUUUAUGCAAAAUAAAAAAAAAUCAAAAGUUUUAAAAUUUUGACUUAAAAGCCUAUAAUAUUAUAAAUUUCUUAUACUACUGAACUAGAUUUUCAAUUAAAUGACUUAUUACUACAUUUAUAAAUAUAUAUAUAUAUAUAUAUAUAUUUAAAUUAAUAAUUUUUCUUAUUAAUUAAUUUAAUAUAUAGUUAAACUACAUAUGUUAUUUACUAUCUAUAAUUGAUGAUAAAUAUAAAUAUGAUUUUUUUUGUCAUAACGGCAACUAAUUUCCUCUCACCUAUGUGAGUAAGGUUCAAAUUCAGUGUCCUUUUUUUUUUUUGACACAAGAUAUUUUACUAUCUCAAUUAGAUGGAAUGUACAAAAUGUAAAAAUAAAUUUAAUUUUAUAUUCUACAUAGUUAAUGUUUUAUUUUUUUUAUAACAUAAUAUUUAUUUAUUAUACUAUCAAUUAUUCGAUUAUAUAAUAAAAAUAUAUUAACUUACUACUAAUAAUAAAGUGUUAGCUUAUGAAUUGCAAAAUCAUUUUUGUUUGUUUGAAAUAAGGAUUUUUGUAUUUUUGGUUGAGUUUUUAUCCUUAAAUAAAAAGAAUAAAUUUAAUUACAUUUAAAUGCAUUGACAUUUGUUAUUCCACACCUAAUUUUAAAUAGUCAUUAAUGUUUUUAUAUUUUCUAUAAAUUGUGGAGUGCUAUCUACUUGAACUCUAAUAAAUUUUUAUUUUAAAUACAAAUGAAUGAUUUUUAAAAAUAUGAAAAUUCAACACCUAUCUAUUGAUUAUAAUAUAAGUCAAGUAGCAUAAUUAAUUGAAUAACUAAUCGUAUCAUAAACAAAUUAUCAUAUUAGAAAUUUUUAAAUUGAACUCAAUACAGUAGUUAAUUGAGUUGACAGUUAGGGAGAGCAAGCAAAUCCAUUCAAGUUGGAUAUUCAAGUAUCUGAUAAAAAAUAAAUUGAAUAAAAUCCAUCCAAAAUACAUUGGAUUUGGUUUAUUUAAUAUUCAUCAAUAAAUUUGAAUAUUAUUAAUACAUAAGUAUAUGAGAUUAAAAUUGAAUAUUAAAAUUAAUAUUUAAGUUUUAUAAAUUAAAUGAAAAAUCAAAAUAACAUUACUAAAAAUUAUUACAGUGUCUGCAACAACAAUGACGGCACCAUCAUAAAAAAAUAUAACUGAAUGAACAGAAAUACAAAUACUGUCAAUCGAUUUGAUAUUCUCUAAUCUACGUAAUGGUGGCAACAUUGCUAGAUAAAUGAAUGUGUCGUACAUGGAUGCGCCAUCCAAUACAAAUAACCAUAGCAAGACUGCCAUGAUUAAGCAGCGUUUCAAAGUUCACUACCACCUUUAACAACCAAAUUGGCAAUAUUUAAAUUGGAAAAUGGUGGCUGUGCAAUGUAACUCAUUGUGGUUUUAUGGCGUAGUUAUGCUAGCAGUCAUUUUUGGAAGGCGCGUAUGACUCUGCAGAUCACCGUUUUAUAGUAUUAAAACUAUUAUUGUGUAGAUCAUCCAUUUCAAGUCCAAUGGUACCCUUCAUAGCCCCCUUCAAUCAAUAAUGUUUAAGGUUGGUAAAUUGUAAGUUUGGGCCGGAUUUUUUCAAGCCCAAACCCAAGCCCAUGUAAUUAGUAAAAAGCCCAAGUCCUUUAAAAGUCCGUCCAAACUUGAGAGGGCUGGGCGUGGCCGAGCUUGUAUUUUUAAUAAUUUUUAAUAUAUUUUUAUUUUUAUUUCCUUUUUAUUGUGUGAGAGCUGCAUAUGGCAUUUUCAUUUAUUGAUGGAAAAUUUUUAUUGUGUAGAUCAUUGUGGUUUUAUGGCGUAGUUAUGCUAGCAGUCAUUUUUAGAAGGCACGUAUGACUCUGCAGAUCACUGUUUUAUAGUAUUAAAACUAUUAUUGUGUAGAUCAUCCAUUUCAAGUCCAAUGGUACCCUUCAUAGCCCCUUCAAUCAAUAAUAUUUAAGGUUGGUAAAUUGUAAGUUUGGGCCGGAUUUUUUCAAGCCCAAACCCAAGCCCAUGUAAUUAGUAAAAAACCCAAGCCCUUUAAAAGCCCGUCCAAACUUGAGAGGGCUGGGCGUGGCCGAGCUUGUAUUUUUAAUAUAUUUUUAUUUUUAUUUCUUUUUUAUUGUGUGAGAGCUGCAUAUGGCAUUUUCAUUUAUUGAUGGAAAAUUUUCCCACAACACCACCAAUUAUCCUCUAAAUCUCAUAAUAAUAAAAAAAGACAAUAAUAUACAUGUAAGUGAAAAAUUUGCUUAAUUUUAAUGACAAACGAGAAAGUGCCUAUCAAAUAAAAACCUGCAAAUUAAAAGUGAUAAACUAGGUAAAUGUUAAAUACCCUUCAAUAAUUUUUAAAAGAACUUGUGGCUGAAACUGAAACACAAUGCUUCUUCUUCGUUAUCCACUUUCUAUGGCAACAAUGAAACAUUCUUCUUCUUCUUCUUCUUCAUUCUCCCUCUCUCGAUUCUUCCACAAAACUACUCUCCAUUACAACAUCAACAAUGGCUUCAGUAAUCUCAGAAUUUCUACAAUAAUAAAAAAAAAUCAAAGCUUACUUGGGGUAGAGUUGGUGAUGGUUGUUGUUGGUUUGCGUGCGCUGUUGGUGCUGCUGAGUUCACUGCUGCGUCGCGUGCUGCCGUGCUGGCCUCGUGUAGCUGUGUCGCGUUUGCUCUAGUUUGAACUCAAUCGACGAUUGCUGAAUGAUGUGGCUGCAAUUGUUGGGUCUUGUGUGGGUGUGAGGCAACGAUACGAAGGUGCAACUGUUGGCUGUUGCCUCACUUCAUUUUUUGCCUUUUUGGGUGGAUGUGGGUGCGCGAUUCUUGUGAGAGCUUUAGGGCCUGUUUGGUAUUGUUUUUGAAUUUGUAUUUUUAGAGAAUAAAAAUGAAAAUGAAAAUGGUAUUUUGCAGUUGCUGUAUUUCGAAUUUAAAUAUGCGUCUGGUAUCAUUUUAUGUAUCCUAUAUUUUAAAACUGAAAACAGUAAUAUGCGUUUGGUAGACACAGUUGAAAAUGAUAAAAACAGAGAAUAUGCGUUUGGUAUGCUUUUUUCAAAAACAGUUUUUACUAAUCAUUUACAUUAUAUUUAUAGUCAUAAAAUAAUUAUUUAGCUAAUACACAAAUACAACAAAAUAAUUUAACCAAAUUUAAUAUAAAAAAAUUACAUGAUAAUAAAGUUUAAGAAUUCACAUUAAUUAAAAUUUUUUUGACAUUGUCAUUGUUUUUACACCAUAUAAUUAAGAUAUAUAUUACAACACAUGCUUUAAACAAAAUAAUUAUAAAAAAAUAUAUGAUACACAUUAUGCAUUACGUAUGUAAUCAUGCCACAUAAAAGCUGCAAUUCCAUCUCUUGUAGCAUUCAUCUCUGCGAUACUUGCUGGAGAUAAAUCAAUAUUAGUAAGUGGCCUACUACUAAAUCAAUGGUACCCAAAAAAAUAAAAAAUAAAACAUAUAUCAAAUAUUAAUCAAAUUAAAAACACUGCUAUUAAAUUUUAAGAUAUAAACAUACAAUUUUCAAUACAUGCUAUUAAUCCCCCACUCAAUUUCAGUAAUGUAAUCAGCAUAAAGGUUGCAUUGCUAUGACUUUUUGCAUUAAUAUUGAUAACUAAAAGCCUUAACUUACUUUUUGAACUUGGUUAUUUGUUACUUAAUGCAGACAGCUUACAACUUGAAGAUUUGAGAAUCAUUUACCACGGAAAUACCCACCCAGGUAUUUGGUAUGCUAGUGUAGUGUUUUUGGGAACAAUUUUUAGUCAAUUGAAGUUCAUUUUAAAUAAGAGCCAAGAGUUUUUUAUUUUUUCUAACAAUUGCGAAAUUAAAUUACCAUAGCAUUUUGAGUAAUCAUUGCAUGUCAAUUAUGAAUUAUUUAUUUUAUUUCCCAAAAAAACUCCCCCAUGUUCUAACUUCGGUCUCCCAAGUCCCGACCGCAAAAACAUAAUCCAUUUUUGUAGAUAUAAUUUAGUUCUUCAAAUUUUCGUAAUAUAAUUUGUGAAAUCACCAGAAUUUGAUAGCAUUGUCAUAAGUCAUAACCCUUUAUAAUUCUUUAAUUUUAUUCUAAAUAUUUAAUCUACCAUCUCACGUAACCUCGGAUUUUAAUUAGGUUGGGUGUGGGAUUAACAUAAGCCCAACACUUUAUAUAGAAACAAAAAAUCAAUCUUGAUCAUCAAAGCUUAAGAACAACACGUGAAGUAAACAAAAUUCCUAAGGAAACAAAAACCCUGAAUCUAUUUAAUUCAAAUAUUUUAAAUAAACCAAAUCAGCAUAAAGGAAUUCCCACAAGAAAUUGUUUGUUUUACUAGAUUUAAUCUCUAAAAUAAAUGAGGAAAAAUUUCAGCACAUAAAUAAACAAUUUGUCACUACAUAUGAACAACCUCAGAAAUUUCCAGAAUUAAAAAUCACUCAAAUCAUCUCUAAAAAAUUUCAGCUCAUAAACAAAAUAAAUACUGGCUAGUGACAGAUCCGGGAGAGCAACAGCAGCUGGCGUGAAGACGAGCAGCAACGGCUGAGCAGAACAGCAGCGAAAACAGAGCAGCAGCGAAGACGAGCAGCAGCGGAGCAGAGCAGCAGCGGAAACAGAGUAGCGGCGGCUAUGGCGGAAACACAGCAACGACAGUGGCUGAGAGUGCAGAUUUGCUGAGGAAAGGGAGAGAGUGCAGAUUUACUGCAACUGAAUCAAGAAGGCUGCGGGGGAAAGGGGAAGAGAGAGAGGCAGUGAAGAGAUAAGGAGGAGAGAGUGGAUCGGGAGAAAUAAAGAGAGAAAGAUGUUGGAUGAAGAUAAGGGGAGGGAGAGAGUGCAGAUUUGCUGCAACUGGAUGAAGAAAGUUGGGGGGAAGAGAGAGCGGCAGUGAAGAGAUAAGGAGGAGGUCACGAUUUUUCUUUUGUUUUUUUAAUUCAUUUUUAGGUUUAGACUGUCAAAUUUGGAGAACAUGUUUAACUUGUUUUCAGUUGUGUAGUUAUAAUAAUGAAUCCAGAUUUUGUGUUUUGUAAUUUGUUUUGUGAAAAAAAUCCACCAAACAUGUUUUAUGUGUGUAUUAUAAAAAUGAAAACGAAAAUAUGGUUUGAAAAACGGUACCAAACGGCCCCGUAGGGUUCAUUGUUUUUUGUUUAGAUUUUGUGUUUUUUUUUUCAGAUAUUUUUUCAUUUAUAUAUUUUUGUUUUUUAUUUCAGAUUUUUUAUUUAUAUAUUUUUGUUUGAGGCCCUUAACCAAGCCCAUUAUAAAUGGGCUUCAUAUUUCUAAGCCUUUAUCCAUAAUUUUAUCCGGGGUUGGGCUUGAAGCUCGGGAGCACUUUUUUACCAAGCCUAAGUGGUCACCAGCGAUUUUCAAUACUUUUUAAUGUAAAUUAUUUUUUUGUAAUUAAUUCAAAAUAAAAUUAAUAAUUUUUAUUAUUAUUCUGUUUCUAUAUUGAAAAUAAUUUAGUUACAUUUUAAUACUAAUCAUUUUAGGAAAUUAAAUAAAAAAUAAAUAAGAUUUUUUUAUGUAAAACUCAUUAAUUAGUUUUCAUACAGUAAAAUGUAUAAUGAUUUAUAAUAAAAAUUAAAUACCAUGUUUAUCAAUAGAUAUCCAUAACAUAUUGGAUAAUUUGUAUUUGCACAUAGAUGGAUAAUAACUAUUAUUCAAUUGGAUUUUGCCAUCCCUAAUUGAUAGGGAUACGAUCAAUUAAAUAAUUGUGUCAAAUUGACCAAUCAAAUAUAUAUAUAUAUAUAUAUAUAUAUAUAUAUAUAUAUAUAUAUAUUGCGUCAUAUUCUUGUCAGAUUAAUGGGUUAGUGUCAGACAACAACAUCAUGGCAAUGGACUUUUUGUUUUUUACUUUGGUAGUGAAAUGGAUUUUUUCCCCAAUUCUAGCAAAUUAUGCAUUAGGUUCUCUACAUAUAUUGCGAUAAUAAAAAAAACUUAUAUUGUCCAAAUUGGCAAGUUUGCGAUGUCGGAGUAGUGUGUUCGUGUUGGGUCUUGGAAAGGUGUUUAUGACAUAGGUUGUGGCUUUUGGAAACAUUACUGUAAUUGAAAAUUUGUAAGUGCAGGCCUAAUGUGUCAAAAUUUAAAAGUCGUUGGCCUUUUUUUUUUAUAUAUAUAUAUAACAAAUAAUAGGACUCCAUUAUAAUUGACUUAGAGAAAGACAAAAAAAAGGGGUAACAAACCCUUGUGGCAACAUAGUUUUACCCUAUAAUUAUCACGGCGCACAUAAUUAGAAAAAAUAACUAUUAUUACUUUUCAAUUAAUCACUUUAUAUCACAUUAGUUUAUAAUAUUAAUUUGUAAAAAAUUAUUUGUAGUUCUAUCACUAUUGUUAAAAGAUAGGAAAAUGGAAGCUUGGAUUAAUGUGUAUUCGCAUAGAUAAAAAAAAAAAUUGUGUAUCUCAUCGACCGGUCAUAGAUUGGCCAAAUUAGUUUACAUUUGAGUGAGGAUUUUCCAACUAUUAUUUAUUUAUUUCACUUAGCACUAAAAGUAAAUUUUUACUUCCAAAUUAAUUGUUCGAUAGUCUCUCCCCGGGACUGGGGUCCAUCCUAUUAUACUCUCAAAGAAAUUGAGAGGGAAAAUUCAAGCAAGGUUCACUCUAAUUUGAUUUUAUUGUUUGAUUAUGAACAACGAACAUAAAGGUUUCCGUGAAGGGAAAAUGCAAAUUAAAGCGCGUGCAAUCCUAUUUAUUAUUUGUCUUGAUUUUGUUUUAAUCAUCAUCUUCAACUAGUGACAAUAUUUAUUUGGGACUUAGCUAUGGUGCAACUGUGGUACCAUACCACAGCUGCACCUAGUGAUUAAAUCUAGUUACCUAACCAUUUGAUCUCUCACCAUAGCUGAAUUUAAUGGUUAAGUGCAGCUGUGAUAUGGUACCACAUUUACACCAUAGCUGAACCUUUCAUUUGAGCAAAGUUAAAAUCAAUUUUAUGAUUCUUAACCUUUAUCUUUCUUAGGAUUUGAUUUUGACUACUAGUCAAAUAAAAUUAUUGGAGAACUAUUCAAAUAUACCUAGUGGUGUAAUAAGAAAUUUGAAUUAACAUUAACAAAUUUUUAAAAAUGUUUAAGACAAUUUUUUAAGAAUAUUUUUAAAAAUUAGGUACUUCCAUUCUCACUUUGAUUAUUUAUUACAUUAAAUUACGUAGACAUUAUAAAAUAUUUGGACUUAAUUUCUCGUGUUUUUGUUGGUUUAGUAAAUUAAAACCACCCUUUGUCCCUCGUUUAGUAAUUAGGAUCCCAUAAGUUAUAAUUGUUUAUUUAUGAAUAACACCAAUUGUUGGGCAUUUUUUUUUUAUCGGAGCAAAUUAAAUUUUUUUUCAUUAACAACUUACACAUUAGUUUUGGUUCGAAAAAUAAAAUUAGCAAUUUUUGACAUACCCAUGAAGUCAACUCCACCUUAUUUCUUUCUUUUUAGUUCCUUUCAUGAGAUUUUGAUAAGGUGGGCAAAAAAGCCUGGGCUUGCUCGCCCUAGACCCGAGAGUUUUUGGGCUAGCCCUUUACAUGAAGACCUAAAUAUGAGUUAAAAUUUCUAAAGUCUGUUGUGAAUAGGUCUGGUUAAAGACUUAUGUAAAAAGUUUAGACUUGACUCAAAUUUUAUAAUUUAUAAAUUAAAAAAGAAAAUCAAAUAAAAAAAAAGAAAGAAAACAAGCAAAUUCACGUGACUGAAUUUCUCGUUUACUAUAUUAUAUUGUUAGUAUUUUGUGUAUUGUACUAUUAAUCUAUUAUGUAUUGAAUAAUCAUCUUUAAUUUUAAUAUUUUUUUAAUUUUUAGCUUUAUUAAAAAUUCAUUUAAAAAUUAAUAGAAGCCCAAGUCCGGCCUAGGCCCAUCAAGACUCAGCCUAGGCCCGGUUCUUCCAAAUUUGGAUGGACUUUUAGAGAACUUGAGUAUGUUAUCAAUAACAUGAGCUUGGCCUUGGUUUGAAAAAGCCUAACCUAAACCUGUAAUCUAUAUAUGUGCCAUGUUUUCAAGACUAUCUCAAAGUUUUGUUUUACAUGGUUACAUGUCUAUUGAAAUAAUGAUUUUACGUAGGUCUCCCUCUCUCAAAUUUACAUUUUAAAAAAUUUAUUGAUUGGUAAUUCUAGUUGUUAUUCAUUUUUAAAUUAUUUUAUUUGAUUGUAAGUUACAAAACAUUUUUUAUGUAUAAUUAUAAUUGUAGUAAUAGUAGUAGCAAUAACAAUAACAACAACAAUAACAAAAAAAAAAUUAUUAUUAGGAUAAUAGUAAAAAUGAAUAUAAUAAUAUUAACUAAGGGCAUUUUAAUAAUUUAUAACAAUUCAUUCUGGUUUCAAGACGAAGUAAAUAAAUCAAUGUGAUACAAUUCAUUUCAAUUCUAAUUCACAUAGCUCAAGUAAAAUCUUAUUUUAGUUUUCAUUUGUUACUAUGAUUCCAACCCAUUCUGAUUGCUGCAAAGGAAAUACACCGUAAAUGUAAUUUUGACAAGCUCAUAUAUUAUACUCAAAUUGUUUUGUAGUUUUUUCUCGAAUGACAACCAAAUUAGCAAAAUCUGGUGCUAUCAUUGCCACUAAACGAAAUCGAUUUUGAACUUCAUCGAAAUUAGGAUUGGGCAUUGAAUCGGGUUCGAAUAGAUGCGAUCCAAUUAAGUUUGGAUUGGAUUCGAAUAUUGCCCAAAAUUUGAUCUCAUAUAAUUUGUGCCAUCUAAUUAGAUUUGCUUCGAAUCGGAUUAGAUUCGACUUGAUUUGAAAAAUUCAAUUGGAUUGCAGUGCUUCCUAAAAAAUUCAAAUACAAAUAAUUAAAUAUAAAAUCAAUAACUCAAUCCAAAAUAGUCUAAUCCAAAAUACCAUCUGAAUCUAAAAUAUCAUCCAAAUUCAAACUCAUUUGAACUUGGAUUCAUCCAAAUAUUCAUCCAAUUAGAUUUUUUUUUUUAAGUGGAUCGAAUUGAAUUCAGAUGGUUUUUUUUUCUCAAUCUGCACAAUUCAAAAUCCACUCUGAUUCAUCUAAAUAUGAAGUUAUGUAAAAUUUUAGGACAACCGAACAAUUCUAAGAUUUUUUUCUUUUUCCCUCAUUAUGAGCCCAAUGACAAAUGUAGUUAGAAAUUGCAUCUGUAGCUGGAAAAUAUUACGACCAUAGAUAAAUUGGGUGCGUGAAUAUUACAAACUUGUUAAUCCUAAUGAAGAGUCAUUAGCUCAAAUAUAAAAGACUUGAGGGGCCUGUUGGAUAAUAGUUAAAAUAAUAAUCAAAAGACGACAAACAUGAGGUUAUCCUCAAAGUACUGCCAGCUAAAUGAAGUAAACUGAAGGUCAGCACAGACCCCC
rnacentral:lncRNA from 1 species